ACCUGCCCACUGAUGUUAAAUUUAAUGGCCGCAGUACCUUGACUGUGCUAAGGUAGCAUAAUAAAUUGACUUUUAAUUGGGGCCUUGAAUGAAUGGAUAAAUGGAUAAUUUCUGUCUCAAUAAAAAUUUUAUAAGUUGCUUAAAAGGUGAAAAUUCCUUUAAAUAAAUUAAAUAGACGAGAAGACCCUAGGAGUUUUUAAUUUUGUUGGGGCGACAGUAUAGCAUUAUAACCUAUAUAUAAAUAUUUUUAUAAAACGAAUAAUUUUAAUAAUAAAUAAACUACCCUAGGGAUAACAGCAUAAUUUAAUUUUAAGUUUGUGACCUCGAUGUUGGACUAGGGACUUUUAAAGCUAACAGUGUUAAUUGACAGUUCUGUUCGA
rnacentral:rRNA from 1 species